rnacentral:rRNA from 1 species
GAUGAACGCUAGCUCCAGGCUUAACACAUGCAAGUCGAGGGGCAGCAUGAUUGAAGCUUGCUUCAAUCGAUGGCGACCGGCGCACGGGUGAGUAACACGUAUCCAACCUGCCGAUAACUCGGGGAUAGCCUUUCGAAAGAAAGAUUAAUACCCGAUAGUAUAGUAUUUCCGCAUGGUUUCACUAUUAAAGAACUUCGGUUAUCGAUGGGGAUGCGUUCCAUUAGAUAGUUGGCGGGGUAACGGCCCACCAAGUCAACGAUGGAUAGGGGUUCUGAGAGGAAGGUCCCCCACAUUGGAACUGAGACACGGUCCAAACUCCUACGGGAGGCAGCAGUGAGGAAUAUUGGUCAAUGGACGAGAGUCUGAACCAGCCAAGUAGCGUGAAGGAUGACUGCCCUAUGGGUUGUAAACUUCUUUUAUACGGGAAUAAAGUGGAGUAUGCAUACUCCUUUGUAUGUACCGUAUGAAUAAGGAUCGGCUAACUCCGUG